ACGGAAGGCAGCAGUGGGGAAUAUUGGGCAAUGGGCGAAAGCCUGACCCAGCAACGCCGCGUGAAGGAAGAAGGUUUUCGGAUUGUAAACUUCUUUUAUCAGGGACGAAGAAAGUGACGGUACCUGAUGAAUAAGCCACGGCUAACUACGUGCCAGCAGCCGCGGCAAUACGUAGGUGGCAAGCGUUAACCGGAUUUACUGGGUGUAAAGGGCGCGUAGGCGGGGAUGCAAGUCAGGUGUGAAAUCUAUGGGCUUAACCCAUAAACUGCAUUUGAAACUGUAUCUCUUGAGUGUCGGAGAGGUAGACGGAAUUCCUAGUGUAGCGGUGAAAUGCGUAGAUAUUAGGAGGAACACCAGUGGCGAAGGCGGUCUACUGGACGAUAACUGACGCUGAGGCGCGAAAGCGUGGGGAGCAAACAGGAUUAGAUACCCUGGUA
rnacentral:rRNA from 1 species